rnacentral:rRNA from 1 species
AGUGAACGCUGGCGGUAGGCCUAACACAUGCAAGUCGAACGGCAGCACAGUAAGAGCUUGCUCUUACGGGUGGCGAGUGGCGGACGGGUGAGGAAUACAUCGGAAUCUACUUUUUCGUGGGGGAUAACGUAGGGAAACUUACGCUAAUACCGCAUACGACCUACGGGUGAAAGCAGGGGAUCUUCGGACCUUGCGCGAUUGAAUGAGCCGAUGUCGGAUUAGCUAGUUGGCGGGGUAAAGGCCCACCAAGGCGACGAUCCGUAGCUGGUCUGAGAGGAUGAUCAGCCACACUGGAACUGAGACAGGGUCCAGACUCCUACGGGAGGCAGCAGUGGGGAAUAUUGGACAAUGGGGGGAAGCCUGAUCCAGCCAUACCGCGUGGGUGAAGAAGGCCUUCGGGUUGUAAAGCCCUUUUGUUGGGAAAGAAAAGCAGCAGGUUAAUACCCCGCUGUUCUGACGGUACCCAAAGAAUAAGCACCGGCUAACUUCGUG